CUGGGAAACUAGCCUGAUGGAGGGGGGUAACGUACUGGAAACGGUAGCUAAUACCGCAUAACGUCGCAAGACCAAAGAGGGGGACCGUUCGGGCCUCUUGCCAUCGGAUGUGCCCAGAUGGGAUUAGCUAGUAGGUGGGGUAACGGGCUCACCUAGGCGACGAUCCCUAGCUGGUCUGAGAGGAUGACCAGCCACACUGGAACUGAGACACGGCCCAGACUCCUACGGGAGGCAGCAUG
rnacentral:rRNA from 1 species